rnacentral:rRNA from 1 species
GACGAACGCUGGCGGCGUGCUUAACACAUGCAAGUCGAACGGAAAGGCCCUGCUUUUGUGGGGUGCUCGAGUGGCGAAAGGGUGAGUAACACGUGAGUAACCUGCCCUUGACUUUGGGAUAACUUCAGGAAACUGGGGCUAAUACCGGAUAGGAGCUCCUGCUGCAUGGUGGGGGUUGGAAAGUUUCGGCGGUUGGGGAUGGACUCGCGGCUUAUCAGCUUGUUGGUGGGGUAGUGGCUUACCAAGGCUUUGACGGGUAGCCGGCCUGAGAGGGUGACCGGCCACAUUGGGACUGAGGUACGGCCCAGACUCCUACGGGAGGCAGCAGUGGAGAAUAUUGCACAAUGGGCGGAAGCCUGAUGCAGCAACGCCGCGUGCGGAAUGACGGCCUUCGGGUUGUAAACCGCUUUCGCCUGUGACGAAGCGUGAGUGACGGUAAUGGGUAAAGAAGCACCGGCUAACUACGUG